rfam:Beta vulgaris subsp. vulgaris Bvchr7.sca012.con0050.1, whole genome shotgun sequence.
GUAUCCCAUAGAAAGGUUGGUUCACUAGGGGAAAAAAACAGAAGGGCUGCGCUUUUGAUAAAAGCGCAGCCCUAUGUUUGAAGGGCUGCGCUUUUUUGAAAAAGCGCAGCCCUACAAA